rfam:Eimeria tenella Houghton genomic scaffold, Eth_scaff3
AUACCUUCUCGGCCUUUUGGCUAUGAUCAAGUGUAGUAUCUGUUCUUAUCAGUGUGACAACUGAUAUGGAUCCAACUGGAUCCAACAAUGUCACAUCAAUUUUUGCCUGGAGGGGUUAGGAUUCUGAGCUUGCUCAAACCUUCCCCGAGCGUUGUCCCACUCUUACACUUUCGGUGGGCUCGGCGCAUCCAUC